UCUUGAUUGGUCUAGUGGUAAGGAUACCUGCUUGUCAAUACUCUUCUAACCUAACCAUCAUCUGUUGUGGUUGAUAGAGAGUUGUAGCAAAGCGCAGGUGGCCGGGGUUCGAUUCCCCGAUCGAGAG